UCCGGCGCAGGGGCGGGCUGAAGGGACGAUCACUCUUCGUCACGCCCCCGCCGGGCGUCAGGGGCGGGACCAGACUAGCCCCGCCCCUUCCCUAAAAAACAGUCAUUACGCCGGAAAUGCCCUCUUUCUCGCCCGUUUACUACAAGGAUGAAGGCGGGCUCUCCCGGCGUGCGCCGCGGCGGGGGCGGGGCCGGAGACGCGUCGCGGGAACUGCCCGCGCCUGGGAGCCGAGGCUCCCGUCAUGCUGUGCGCGCAGAGCCGCCGCACUACUGACUCCAGUCCGAACUGCACAGGACUCAGCAUCCAGAGUGAGGAAACGUCUGACCCUCAGCCUGACCUGCCUUAGCAACUGGACGGCCAGGACUCGGGCCGCAGCAGGAGGAAUGCGGCCGGCCGGCCGGGGCCAGGAGGCAUUUGGUGGCAGGUUCUCCGUGUUACUUUAGACGGCACACUCCCUGCUGACCAAGGCUGAGCGUUAGGAAAAAAUGGUUGGAAAACUUCAGAAUUUGGGGCACGUUCAGCUGUUUCCUGCCAUUUCCUACAGAGCCGGGGACAGACGUGAAGUGGGGGGAGGCCAGCCAGUCUGUAACAGAGUGGGCAGCAUUGCUCCGUGCCGGGAAGCUCUGUGCCGGGCGCCUGCAGCGUGGUGGUGGGUGGUCUUGCUGGAUUAAACGACCCACUGUGUUCCUACCCCAAGCAAAGGCAGCCUGGGCAGCCGGUAUCACUGACUCUCAACGUUUUACGAAGGGCUUUGUAUUUCAAUUUCUCUGCCAGACAGUCCGGAGGCAAAUGCCCAUGUCAGGGUGUUACCUUCCUAUAGAGCCCUUCAUUUCCUAAGUCCGGAAGGUAGAGACCAGUAACUUGAAGAGAAGGGGCUGAGGGAGCACAGCGACCAGCAGCUGAAAGACAGACCACUUCAGGCAAAAAAAAAGAGUCUAGGCGGGGAUCUGGGCUCUGGUCCUUGAAAAUGGAGUAGGGCUGCCAAAUACAACACGGGCUGCCCAGUUAAAUUUGGGUUUCAGCAAAACAACAAAUCGUUUUUUAGGAUAAGUAUGUCUCAAAUAUUUUAAUUCUCAAGUGUUAUUCAUCGUUUAUCUGAAAUUCAGGUUUGACUGGGAAUUCGGUGUUUCCUGUUUUUCAAUUUGCUAAAUCUGGCGAGGGCAGUCAUCAUGUUGUUAGAGACCAUGAACUGGCCUGCUAACCAGGCGACCGAACAACCCAGCAAGCACCUCUGCGGCUCCCAUGCUGUUCAGGUCCCAAGAUGGGUAAACCCUCCAGUACUCACUUCUCUUUAUUUUUAUCUUAAUUUUUUUUUUUAUUGAUUUCAAAGAGGAAGGGAGAGGGAGAGAGAGAGAUAGAACAUCAAUGAUGAGAGAGAAUCAUUGAUCAGCUGCCUCCUGUACACCCCACACUGAAGAUCAAGCCAGCAACCCAGGCAUGUGUCCUGACCAGGAAUCGAACCGUGACCUCCUGGUUCACAGGUCGAUGCUCAACCACUGAGCCACACUGGCCGGGCCAGUGCUCGCUUCUGAUGUGUCUUUUAAAGAUGGGGGACAAGGCCGUCCUCCCUCAGGGCAGCUGGGCAGGUAAUGAGCAAGAGAUUGUCCCAGAGCCGCAGGUAUUCAGAUGGGCUGACCACAAAAUGCGCUGUUGCCAGAGAAGGGGACCCUCACCCUUCCAUAGGGUUUGCUCAGUGCUACAGGCCAACAUCUGCGGGGUCUCUGCCAUGAACCUUCUUUUCAAAUGGGAGUUUUUGUUUUCACUGCUCUUUUCCUGCUGCACCACGGUGUGCUGCUCAUUUUGAGGUAGAUACCUUUUCUUUUAGUUGAUGGGUUUCCAGACCGCGAGGAGCCUCUCUGAACCAAUGAAGUGCUCUGUACACCGCCCGGGAUGCCGGUGUUUGCGCUGCAGGCUGUGGUUACAUGGGACCUUGAGGGUGUUGCUCCUGGGAGAGCCAUGGAAAGAAAAGUGGUCCAACACCUGAAAAAUGGAAGUCAUGAAGUCUUAGGCGGACAGGCCCAAGGUUAAAGUGCGAGGCCCCUGAGCUGCAGGCGGGUUUCGAUCGCUCAGAAAGCCGUUGGAUCCAGGUAACUCGUGCUCUUCUGGUUGGAAAGAAACUUGCGUUCUGGCGACGCAGGGGAUUUCUAUCUCCGAAAGGAUGCCAACACGGUUUCUUCUGCCAAACCAAACCGCAGAAAGGACAUGGAGGUCUCCGGAGUUCAUCAGCAGACGCAAGCCGCCUCAGAACAACACUGCGUUCCGGUCUCCCUCUCAGGUCGUACAUUCCUUGAGGAUGACGGUUCGUCGACUUCGUGCCUCGCCCCUAGCACACAGUUGGUGCAGACAUUGCUUCUGAAUGAAUGAGGCGUAUAAAUCAUCGCUUUAUACCCUGGCAUUGGGCCCUUUUCAAAGAAGCAAUAAACGUGUCGAAUUUCCUGCGCUGUCAGAAACAUUGUUUAAUCAUCCUGUUAAAAAUAAAGAACUCCAAGGCUGGCUGAGCAAAUUCUCCAGCCACUAGAUGCUCUUUCCUCUUUGGGCCGCUCAGCUGUGCAGCCGGAAAUGGGUGGUGGGAGAGGAGCUGGGGCAUCUGCGAAGACCCGGGAAUGCUGGCUAUGUCGGAAAGUGUUUGGAGAAUGCCUCGGAAGCGGAGGAAGUAUUUGUAGAGCAAUCCACGCACAAAGAUACUCGAACCAGAGAAAAUGCACUCAAAAUAGAUGCAUGGGGCACAUUCACAGACUGUCACAUUUUCACCACGUUUAUGUGCUACAGCCUGCCGUGCACCUGAGCAACACGUGUGUGCCACAGACGAUAGGUGCCGUUAGUUGAAAUCAAAGGGCGCGAGCUGAGUGUUGAACCAGCACUGAGAAAGUUACCCUCUCAUCUCGCCCCCAGCCUACACAAUGGUUUCUUCUCAACUGCCAGCAGAGACCGCAAGAAAUGGUCUAGCGUUGGAGUUUCUAGUUGUAGGAAAGUUCCAAACAUCCAGUGGGAAAACAUGUUUCAGAGAGUUAAGAGAGCAAACCAAGCCCCGGCUGGGUGGCUCCAUUGUUUGGAGCAUCGUCCCAUACACCAAAAGGUUGUGGGUUCGAUUCUCAGUCAAGGCACAUACCUAGGUUGCAGGUUUGAUCUCUAGUCAGAGUGGGAGGCAAGUGAUCAAUGUUUCUCUCUCAUAUUGAUGUUUCUCUCUCUCUCUCUCUCUCUCUC